rnacentral:circRNA from 1 species
GCAGAAUCCAGAGACCACAUUUGAAGUAUAUGUUGAAGUGGCCUAUCCCAGGACAGGUGGCACUCUUUCAGAUCCUGAGGUGCAGAGGCAAUUCCCGGAGGACUACAGUGACCAGGAAGUUCUACAGACUUUGACCAAGUUUUGUUUCCCCUUCUAUGUGGACAGCCUCACAGUUAGCCAAGUUGGCCAGAACUUCACAUUCGUGCUCACUGACAUUGACAGCAAACAGAGAUUCGGGUUCUGCCGCUUAUCUUCAGGAGCGAAGAGCUGCUUCUGUAUCUUAAGCUAUCUCCCCUGGUUCGAGGUAUUUUAUAAGCUGCUUAACAUCCUGGCAGAUUACACGACAAAAAGACAGGAAAAUCAGUGGAAUGAGCUUCUUGAAACUCUGCACAAACUUCCCAUCCCUGACCCAGGAGUGUCUGUCCAUCUCAGCGUGCAUUCUUAUUUUACUGUGCCUGAUACCAGAGAACUUCCCAGCAUACCUGAGAAU